UUUGUGAGGUUAGAGGUUCUGACGGCUUGACAUUUACACAGCUCUGAUGUAACAAUGCAUGGGCCUUAAUUAAGACUUGCACAAACCCCUCUGACAGAAUGUCACAUUCAACACAGUGCUGCAGAAGGCCACUGACAAGGGGCCCUCACUAGCCCCUCCUGCACACAAUUGGCCUGGCAGCAAACCGCACUUCAUUAGCACACUGUGACUGGGCAAAGUAUCGUGAGGGUGCAUGGUUUCUGCAGGUUUCAACAAGUUAAAUCUUCUUCCAAGACAUGUCUGCGGGAGGCUACAACUGCAUUUUCCUUAACCCUUUCUGAGAUUCACAAGCCUUGCCCUGUAAUGACAGUCUUGCCACGUCCAUACUGGAGCUGUGGCCCCAGAGCUUCAGUACAGGAGCUCUCACAGCCUGGAGUGCCACUUCUAACAGUUCCAGAGUUGUGCCAAAGAUCACUCACUCACUAGUGUUGAUCACCAACUACACUACGGAUUUAC